rnacentral:rRNA from 1 species
GGUGCAUGGUUGUCGUCAGCUCGUGUCGUGAGAUGUUGGUUAAGUCCGCAACGAGCGCAACCCCUAUUGUUAGUUGCCAUCAUUCAGUUGGGCACUCUAGCGAGACUGCCGGUAAUAAACCGGAGGAAGGUGGGGAUGACGUCAAAUCAUCAUGCCCCUUAUGACCUGGGCUACACACGUGCUACAAUGGUUGGUACAACGAGUUGCGAGUCGGUGACGGCGAGCUAAUCUCUUAAAGCCAAUCUCAGUUCGGAUUGUAGGCUGCAACUCGCCUACAUGAAGUCGGAAUCGCUAGUAAUCGCGGAUCAGCACGCCGCGGUGAAUACGUUCCCGGGCCUU